UACAGAGGUCUCAAGCGUUGUUCGGAUUCAUUGGGCGUAAAGGGUGCGUAGGUGGCGUCGUAAGUCGGGUGUGAAAUUUCGGAGCUUAACUCCGAAACUGCAUUCGAUACUGCGGUGCUUGAGGACUGGAGAGGAGACUGGAAUUUACGGUGUAGCAGUGAAAUGCGUAGAGAUCCGGAGGAACACCAGUGGCGAAGGCGACACGCUGGGUCACACCUGACGCUAAAACGCGACAGCAUGGGGAGCAAACGGG
rnacentral:rRNA from 1 species